rnacentral:rRNA from 1 species
CCCUUAGACGUUCUGGACCGCACGCGCGCUACACUGACGAAGGCAACGAGCUUUCCUUUACCGAAAGGUACGGGUAAUCUUUUGAAACUUCGUCGUGCUGGGGAUAGAUCCUUGCAAUUUUUGAUCUUAAACGAGGAAUGCCUAGUAAGCGCAAGUCAUCAACUUGCGUUGAUUACGUCCCUGCCCUUUGUACACACCGCCCGUCGCUACUACCGAUUGAAUGGUUUAGUGAGGCCUUCGGAUCCGCGACUCGUUUUGUGGAGAAGUUGGACAAACUCAGUCAUUUAGAGGAAGUAAAAGCCGUAACA